rnacentral:lncRNA from 1 species
AAGAUGAACUAAACGUUUUCUUCUUUAACUUUCGGUGUCAGGUACUUUGUCUCAGCAAUGAGGAAAGUAACUAAGGUAACUAAUUGGAUGCUGCUACGUUCGAUCCCUGCCCUGACCCAUGAGAUGGCCUGAAAUGGAGACAGCAUGUGUAUGCUGGUUCUGCUUCUGAUGGUGUUAACUUUGUAUGGAGACCUGGAGGAUGGAGGAUGUUGCAUAUCAGAGAAAACCCACUACACUUGCAGCCUUUGGAGAAGAAAUUGCAAAUGCAUCCUUCCUCCUGAAGAUGCUGAGGUAUGAAGUCCAGGGACGCUGCACUGGGGAGAAACCCAGCGGCUUAUCUUGGUGUACUCAGGCGCCUCUCCACAUCUGUCUCCUGGUCUCACUAUUUUCAUCCAUGAGGACAAGGAGCCCACUAAUUCAAAUGACUCCUCAUUUCUUGGGUCAGAGAGGUUGCAAAACCUAAACCAACUUUUUCUCCAGUUUACCAUUUCAUCAGGAGAUACCUUAUGUUCACUGUAUUGCUUCAUGUCAUUUCCCUUCUCCUCAAUGGAGGUAUCACUGCAUGAAAACAUAAAUGGAUGGAGUUCCAGGGCUUUCUGUACCACAAGCCGCUUUAGUUUACAAGUGAGAAUUCUAAGGUGUUGAGAAGCAAUAUGAUUAAUUCCAUAUCACUGCAUGAUUGGGACUUUCUGGACAAAGAAAGAUGACAUGCUAUAAAUACAGAGAAUAAUAAAAUAUAAAUAAUAUGUAAAUAUUUUUCCAUAUCCAUUUGUUUCUUAUUUUAAGAGUGAAAGAGCCAGAGAUACAUAUUUCUUUUAAGGUGGAACCAUGUGUUUUCAUUCAAAGGAUAAUAAAGGAAUAUUUUUUCUUUGUUAAAAUUCUAAUGUAACAACAUAUGUAUUUAUAAGGAAAAUAUAAAAACACCCUUCUGUGAAAAAAUAAAACAAUUAAUAGGCAAAUGGGUGCAUCUUGCAAAUAUAAUGAUAAGUGAAAUAAGCCAGACACAUGUUUAAAUAGAACUUGGCCAUAUAUAUAUAUAUGGUAUACAUAUAUAUGGCAUACAUAUCUAUGGCAUAUAUGUAUGUGUGUAUAUAUAUAUAUAUCAGAUAAAUAGGAAGUAGGGAGUUCAAAUAGUUCCCCAAAUUAUCUGUUGUGUUGUUCUAAAAAUAUUUUAAUAUAUAUGCUAAUUUGUUUCAUUUGUAC